rnacentral:rRNA from 1 species
AACGAACGCUGGCGGCAGGCCUCAAACAUGCAAGUCUAGGGGGUGUAGCAAUACAUCACCGGCGGACGGGUGCGUAACGCGUGGGAAUAUACCUAUCGAUUCGGAACAACUGAGGGAAACUUCAGCUAAUACCGAAUACGUCCUAACGGAGAAAGAUUUAUCGUCGAUAGAUUAGCCCGCGUUCGAUUAGCUAGUUGGUGGGGUAACGGCCCACCAAGGCGACGAUCGAUAGCUGUUCUGAGAGGAAGAUCAGCCACACUGGGACUGAGACACGGCCCAGACUCCUACGGGAGGCAGCAGUUGGGAAUCUUGGACAAUGGGGGAAACCCUGAUCCAGCCAUGCCGCGUGAGUGAUGAAGGCCUUCGGGUUGUAAACUCUUUCGCGCACGACGAUAAUGACGGUAGUGCGAGAAGAAGCUCCGGCUAACUCCGUGCCAGCAGCCGCGGUAAU